GGGGUUGUGGCUCAGUGGUAGAUCGCUUGCCUAGCAUGUAUGAAGCACUAGGUUCCAUUCUCAGCACCA
rnacentral:tRNA from 1 species